rnacentral:rRNA from 1 species
UCAGCAGUCAAGAAUAUUAGUCAAUGCUCGAAAGAGUGAACUAGCUAACUGAAAUCUUAAUUAUACAAAUAUUAAGAUAAGGUAAGAGAAAAUAAUGAUAUUAUCUUACUAUUAGUGUCGUCUAAAUUUGGUGCCAGAAGACUCGGUAAGACCUUAGACACAAACGUUAAUCGUCAUAAUCAGGCGUAAAGGGUGUGCAGGCGGCUUUAAAUUUUAAUAAAGCUAGAAUCUAAAAGAGGGUAAGCUAAACAACAUAAUUAAUUAGGACUGACAACUUAUAAUAAUGUGGAGUACUAAAGGUUAAAGCUAUUUAUCUACUUAAGAUUGACGCUCAGAAACGAAGGGGAGAAUAAGAAACUUAGAUUAGAUACCUAAUUAUCUCUCUCAGUCAACGAUGAAUGGUAGUUAUUAAAACAAAUUAGUAACGAGGUUAACACGAUGACCAUUCCGCCUUGUUAGUAAGACUGCAAAGUUGAAAACAAAAAAAUUAGUCGGUCUUGAAGCAAACGAAGUGAAGCAUGUUAUUUAAUUCGAUAAUCCGCA